rnacentral:rRNA from 1 species
CCUCAGAUGUACGCAAAAUGCAGUCGAGCGCGGGAAGCGAGUGGAUCCCUUCGGGGUGAAGCUCGUGGAACGAGCGGCGGACGGGUGAGUAACACGUGGGCAACCUGCCUGUAAGACCGGAAUAACCCCGGGAAACCGGGGCUAAUGCCGGGUAAUACUUUUCUUCGCAUGAAGGAAAGUUGAAAGAUGGCUUCUCGCUAUCACUUACAGAUGGGCCCGCGGCGCAUUAGCUAGUUGGUGAGGUAACGGCUCACCAAGGCGACGAUGCGUAGCCGACCUGAGAGGGUGAUCGGCCACACUGGGACUGAGACACGGCCCAGACUCCUACGGGAGGCAGCAGUAGGGAAUCUUCCGCAAUGGACGAAAGUCUGACGGAGCAACGCCGCGUGAACGAUGAAGGUCUUCGGAUCGUAAAGUUCUGUUGUUAGGGAAGAACAAGUACCGUGCGAAUAGAACGGUACCUUGACGGUACCUAACGAGGAAGCCCCGGCUAACUACGUGCCAGCAGCCGCGGUAAUACGUAGGGGGCAAGCGUUGUCCGGAAUUAUUGGGCGUAAAGCGCGCGCAGGCGGUUCCUUAAGUCUGAUGUGAAAGCCCACGGCUCAACCGUGGAAGGUCAUUGGAAACUGGGGAACUUGAGGACAGAAGAGGAGAGUGGAAUUCCACGUGUAGCGGUGAAAUGCGUAGAUAUGUGGAGGAACACCAGUGGCGAAGGCGACUCUCUGGUCUGUUUCUGACGCUGAGGUGCGAAAGCGUGGGUAGCAAACAGGAUUAGAUACCCUGGUAGUCCACGCCGUANACGAUGAGUGCUAGGUGUUAGGGGGCUUCCACCCCUUAGUGCUGAAGUUAA